UACGUAGGGGGCAAGCGUUGUCCGGAAUCAUUGGGCGUAAAGAGCGUGUAGGCGGCCAGAAAAGUCCGCUGUGAAAACUCGAGGCUCAACUUCGAGCUGUCGGUGGAAACUUUCUGGCUAGAGUCCGGGAGAGGAGAAUGGAAUUCCUGGUGUAGCGGUGAAAUGCGCAGAUAUCAGGAAGAACACCCGUGGCGAAGGCGGUUCUCUGGGACGGUACUGACGCUGAGACGCGAAAGCGUGGGGAGCGAACAGG
rnacentral:rRNA from 1 species